AGAAUGAUGGUGGUACUGCAACAGAUUGGGACCUUCCUACUAAUGAGAUAAUCAGCUUGAGGAAAAGGAUAAAGAACAUAGAAUAUAUUGUCAGUGAGACAAAUAAAUCACCUCUGUCGAAACAUAGUAGCAGCAGCACAAAGAAUGAAAUUGAUGACAAGGAAAGCAGCAGCACCAAGAACAGCGGCAAUGUAAGGAGCACCAAACAGAAGGAAAUUGACUACGUAUACAGAAGCAUUGAAAAGAAAGUUAAAGUUUUCGGUCGAGACAAGGUCCAUGAAGAUAUAAGGUGCUUCAUAAUGGACCGGCUACCGAUGCACCAAGCUCCGACUCCAGUAAACCUUAUUCUGUGAUUGGC
rnacentral:misc_RNA from 1 species